rnacentral:rRNA from 1 species
UUCCGGUUGAUCAUGCCGGACUGACUGCUAUCGGAUUGGUACUAAGCCAUGCGAGUCGUUGUAGCAAUACAAGGCGGACGGCUCAGUAACACGUAGUCAACCUAACCUAUGGACGUGGAUAACCUCGGGAAACUGAGAAUAAACCCGCGAUAGAUCAUUAUGCCUGGAAUGGCUUAUGGUUUAAACAAUUUAUUGCCGUAGGAUGGGACUGCGGCCUAUCAGCUAGUUGGUGAGGUAAUGGCCCACCAAGGCUAUAACAGGUACGGGCUCUGAGAGGAGAAGCCCGGAGAUGGGUACUGAGACACGGACCCAGGCCCUAUGGGGCGCAGCAGGCGAGAAACCUUAGCAAUGUGCGAAAGCACGACUAGGUUAAUCCGAGUGAUUCCUGUUGAAGGAAUCUUUUGUCAGUCGUAAAACCACAGACGAAUAAGGGGUGGGCAAGUCUGGUGUCAGCCGCCGCGGUAAUACCAGCACCUCGAGUGGUCAGGAGGUUUAUUGGGCCUAAAGCAUCCGUAGCCGGCUUUGCAAGUCUCCGGUUAAAUCCAACUGCUCAACAGAUGGGCUGCCGGAGAUACUACAAAGCUAGGGAGCGGGAGAGGCAGACGGUAUUCGGUGGGUAGGGGUAAAAUCCUUUGAUCCAUCGAGGACCACCAGUGGCGAAGGCGGUCUGCCAGAACGCGUUCGACGGUGAGGGAUGAAAGCUGGGGGAGCAAACCGGAUUAGAUACCCGGGUAGUCCCAGCUGUAAACGAUGCAAACUCGGUGAUGCAUUGGCUUAUGGCCAAUGCAGUGCCGCAGGGAAGCCGUUAAGUUUGCCGCCUGGGAAGUACGGACGCAAGUCUGAGACUUAAAGGAAUUGGCGGGGGAGCACCACAAGGGGUGAAGCCUGCGGUUCAAUUGGAUCAACGCCGG